ACAGAAUGUAGAGACUGGAGCAGGUAAAGGAGACAAAUUUCCCCUUCUUAAUUCUUCUGCAGUCUCCCCAACUUGUGCGGUGGAAAACAUCCUGUUUGUGCAUAGGAUAAAGUCACCGGGAGCAAAAACAGGCUGGAAAAAAAAGAGAAGAAUCUGGAUUCAGAAUCUGGCCAGCCCUGGACUGCCCCUGAUCUGCCACUUCUCCGCCAACCUACCUGGCAGGUGUAAAAGAUCUCCCGCAGAGACUCGCAGUCCUGAAAUUUAUUUUUGAGCAGAUCCUGUUUCGAAGCAGAGUAGAGCAACCCUUUGGGGUCAAGGGUCCCAACGAUCUCGUACUGAACCGGGCAGCCCUCCCGAUCAAAGCCACA